rnacentral:ncRNA from 1 species
GCUGGUGGUCCCGAGAGAGGAGAUGAUGAUCAGCGCCACCACACUGGGACCUGAGAAGACACGGCGCCCAGACUCCUACGGGAGGCAGCAGUGGGGAAAUUUCCGCAAUGGGCGAAAGCCUGACGGAGCAAUGCCGCGUGGAGGUGGAAGGCCUACGGGUCGUCAACUUCUUUUCUCGGAGAAGAAACAAUGACGGUAUCUGAGGAAUAAGCAUCGGCUAACUCUGUGCCAGCAGCCGCGGUAAGACAG